AGAGUUUGAUCCUGGCUCAGAACGAACGCUGGCGGCGCGUUUUAAGCAUGCAAGUCGAACGGCAGCUUUGGUAGCAAUACUGAAGCGAGAGUGGCGAACGGGUGAGUAAGACGUAGGUGAUCUACCCCUGGAUGGGGGAUAGUCCGUGGAAACACGGGGUAAUACCGCAUAAGGCCUUGAGGGUAAAGCCUUGAGGUGAAAGCUCCAAUUGGAGCGUCUGGGGAUGAGCCUGCGGCCCAUUAGGCAGUUGGCGGGGUAACGGCCCACCAAACCGACGAUGGGUAGCCGGCCUGAGAGGGUGUACGGCCACACUGGAACUGAGACACGGUCCAGACUCCUACGGGAGGCAGCAGCUAAGAAUCUUCCGCAAUGGGGGAAACCCUGACGGAGCGACGCCGCGUGGACGAUGAAGGCCGCAAGGUUGUAAAGUCCUUUUGCAGGAGAAGAAUAAGCCGGGGAGUGGAAAGCCCUGGUGAUGACGUUAUCCUGCGAAUAAGCCCCGGCCAAUUACGUGCCAGCAGCCGCGGUAAUACGUAUGGGGCGAGCGUUGUUCGGAGUUAUUGGGCGUAAAGGGCGUGUAGGCGGCACGCGGCGUCCGGUGUGAAAUCGCAGGGCUCAACCCUGCGGGUGCGCUGGAAACGGGCGUGCUUGAGUCCCGGGGGGGAAGUUGGAAUUCCUGGUGUAGGAGUGAAAUCUGUAGAGAUCAGGAAGAACACCGGUGGCGAAGGCGAGCUUCUAUUCGAGGACUGACGCUGAGGCGCGAAAGCGUGGGGAGCAAACAGGAUUAGAUACCCUGGUAGUC
rnacentral:rRNA from 1 species